CAAUCUUGUGAUAACUGUCACAGGCCACGUCUCCAAUGGCAUCGUUCUCAACCCUCAGUGGUGUGUGAGAAAACGUGUCCCAAAUGCUGAGUCCUUUGCCAUCUGCUCUCCACGCACCUUCAAUCUCAAGAUGACAAGACAUGGUCUUAUUAAGUCAUUCAGUCAAGCACUCACAGCCUCCUUUCUUUCACUGGGUGAGUCUCAAGUCAGGACGUUUACUCUAGCCCUAGUUCAAAUCCCAACCCUGGAGCUCACCACCUUGGUUAAAUUGUUUAAACCUUAGGGUGUGUUUUGAGAGGUUGAGAUGAUGUGAGAAUGAAGUGCCUCCCAGGUGUCUGGGAUAAGCAAGCACUAAAAUAGCUGUUACUCAGAUGUCUUUGUGGCUGCAUCUGUCACCUUUGAUUAGAUCAGUGGUCCCCAACAUUCUUGGCACCAGGGACCGGUUUCGUGGAAGACAAUUUUUCCACAGACUUGGGGGAGGUAGGGGGGAUGAUGGGGAUGAUUUGGGGAUGAAAUUGUUCCACCUCAGAUUAUCAGGCAUUUGAUUCUCAUAAGGAGCACGCAACCUGGAUCCCUCGCAUGCGCAGUUCACAAUAGGGUUUGUGCUCCUAUCUAAUAUGGUCGCUGAUCUGACAGGAGGUGGAACUCAGGUGGUAAUGCUUGCUCGCCUGCCACUCACCUCCUGCUGUGCAGCCAGGUUCCUAACAGGCCAUGGACCAGUACUGGUGCUCCGCCUGGGGGCUGGGGACCCCUAAAUUAGAUCAUCUUAUUAUUUGUAGAUAACAAAAGCAGCAGUGUCUACUACACAGACAGCUAGAAACACACAGACAUUGGGAUAGGACUGGUGCUAAUUUGUCCAUUUCAAGCACUCUGCCUCAGGUAAAAUGGAGGGUCCAUGUAGCUGAAGCUCAGUUUGACAUUCCUGAGCUUGGCCUUUUAUUUUUAUUUUUAUUUUUGAGAUGGAGUCUCGCUCUGUCACCAGGCUGGAGUGCAGUGGCGAAAUCUUGGCUCGCUGCAACCUCCGCCUCCCAGGUUCAAGUGAUUCUCCUGCCUCCACCUCCCAAGUAGCUGAGACUACAGGUGCG
rnacentral:lncRNA from 1 species